rnacentral:lncRNA from 1 species
AUGUGAAUGCAACAUGUGAAGCAUGGGAGUAGGGCCCAAAGCUAAGGGUGCAUGCAUGUGAAGCAUGGGAGUACAAUAAUCUCACAUAUUAUAACACAAUACAACUAUACUCCAUCAUAUAAGAAGGCUUGGAUAGCUAGGACAAAGGCGGUUGAAAAUGUGUAUGGCAAUUGGGAGGAGUCUUACAAACAACUUCCAAAAUACUUGGCGGCUCUU